rnacentral:misc_RNA from 1 species
CUGGAGGGACAAUAAAAAAAAAAUAAAUCGCAUUUAACCUUAUCUCAAAAAUUAAUUUAAUAAAAAAUUUAUUUAAGCACAAAUAUUUUAUCCGAAACCAAUUUCGGCAGCACAACAGUACGGAAGCAAAAUCCAAUAACUUUACGAUCUCAUUGCUAGGGAAGUUGCUGACACCUAUGCAACUGCACGUUCCCAAAAGGAUCUCUCCGUUCCAGCCCAUGUGGAUUCAACCUCAAAGUCAUCUUCGUUGGGCACAUGCACAGGAUCACAAACCCCGGGCUUCAGCUUCACUGGCCAGUGCACCAGUUACUCUAUCACCAAGUUUCUAUAAUCCACAAAGUAACAACACACAUCUAAAAUAUAUGUUUCUACAACUGCAACCAAAGAAGAUUGUAUCGAAUUUUUUCUAGAUUCCCCUCUCUUCCCUAGGCCAAUACUUGGAAACUAUAUAUGUGCAUGAUAACAAUCUUUAUUAUGUAUAGAUAUUGAUUCUGUUAAGUAGAUCAUACAUAUAAGAUAUACAUUAAUUGCUGUUUAUAUUAUUUAUCCUAUAGGGUCAAGACACAUAUAUAUGUUUGGGUAUUACAUGAAAAUGCUAGCUAGCUAUCGAACUAUCAAUAUUUUGGUUCAAGGAAAGGCAAGAAAUGUCCCUUCACUAGCUACCAGUUUAGAUGCAGUGUCACCACUUUUUUUUUUUUUUAUGUGGAUAGAAGAUACAAAAAUAAUUCAGUGACAGAAAUUGACUGCUGUUAAAACCUUGACAAUUUUAAUAUUUCUAUAUAAGCCACUCACACUUUCCAUCCAUAAUUGAUAUGUGAUCCUAAAGCACUACAUCCUUUUCAUUGUGCAUUGCCAUUUUUCAGAUUUCUAAUUAAUAAUUAAAUAUGCCUAAAUAUUUGUUGACUUUGAACUUAAAAUAAAAUUUGUCUCGACAUGCAAAGAAUCAAGCCAUUUUUAUUUUUAUUUUCUUAUUUUUAGGGCUAAAUUCAACAUAAAAGUUAUCAAUUCCACAUUUCAAAUUGGAAUAGUUUGGAACCAUCUUGAAAUCUACUCCUCUUAAUGGCAAAAAUAAAUAAAUAAAUAAGGACGCCUGCUUCCAGAGAUACAUUAUUGCCUAAAUUCUUAUAUACAGCACAAGAGAGUUGAUCAUUACGUUGUACCAGGCACCAAGCUCCACUGCUUCAUUCUGUUACUGGAUGAAUACCGAAAAGAACGAAAUUCCCCGGUGCCUUGUCUGCAGAAUUAAAAGAAAAUAUUAGUAAUACCAUGAAGAAAACAAAGGAACAAUGAAGAAAUAACACAAAGACAAAGUAAGAGUCGACAAAACCAACCAGUAGCUCGCACACAAAAAAAAAUAAAAUAAAAUAAAACCUCAUACCAAAAAUUCAAAGGAUAAAAAUCCUCAACAUUGAUUCUGCUAAAAGCUUCGCAGCUCUCACUUCAAUUUUGCUGAAGCCAACUGAUCCUUCUUAUGCUUCUUCUGCUUAAUAGCGUCCUCAUUUUUUGUUUUCUCUACAUUUUUCUUUUGCUUGACCCCAUCCUCUUUCUUUACUUUAAUUUUGUUCUCAUUUUUCCCUUCUUCCCCCUUCUUUCUCUUCUUAACCUGUAAUGCACUGGAGCCCUUUUUACCAUUAUUAUCGUUAUAAUCGCGACAAGCAUUAUCAAUGUCUGCGUCACCAUCACUAUUCAACUCAAUAUCAUCCUCAUUGACAUACAUGGCUAUCCAUAUACCUAAUCCCAUGUAUCCUCCCCUUCUUCCUUACUUUAUCCUUCUUAACUCUCUCUCCUUCUCAACCUCUCCCUCCUUUUCCUCCUCCCUAACGAGUUCAAUCUUCAACUUCAAAUCAGGAAGCGCCUGAUAAACGGGCAAAGCCAAGCUUUCAAGCAACUUUGAAUGGAAUGACCUAAUACCGCCCCACUUCCUAGGCACAAUUUCCGCAAUCCCAUUAAUAGCAGCCACAACAUUCUUCACGAUCUCCUCUCUGGCCAUUGAAACCUUUCCCACCUUAACCACACUACAAGUCCCAGUCCUCAAAAACAACAGACCUGACCCACAUGCCUUCUCAAUCUGCUCCUUCCAGUUCUUGUGCUUGAUCCACUGCCACCGGAAUCUUCUUCUUCUUGAAAAACUGCUUCCCCAACAUCUUAGGCAAGAGAGGAAUGACCCUUUUAUCUGCGAAAAACAUAUCAUACCAAUCGCACAGUUUCCUUUUCACCUCAAAGGGACGGUAAUCAGUCUUGAGCUUGGAUAACUUGAUGAUUUUGGAGAUGGGUAUAUUGUCGUUUUGGAUCUUCUUCUUAAAUGCAUCUUUGGUAAGGCCGGAUUUGGGUUUGUCAUGAAUGAUUAGGCAGAGCUCGAAGUUGUCAUUCUGAGGUUUAAUUAAGGGAUUAGGGAGGGAAAUAUUGUGGGCGCUGAUGCGGCUAACACCCUUUUGUGGGAUUUUUUAAAGAGUUAAAAAUUAGGUAUACGAACUCGUCAUGUUCUAGCAAUUGAGGUUUUUGGGUCUUGGAUUUGACAGCUCGCCAUUUUAGGAGAGCGUUUACAGCUCUGUCUACUGUUUCAGGGCUUAUGCUAGAGGAAGGAGGAAGCGUGGCCAUUGAUCCUUUCAGGAAGAGAGAGAGAGAGAGAG